UAAGUGAAUAGUGAAAUCGUACGGCUCAACCGUAUACACAUUAUUUAAACUGCUUAGCUUGAAGAUGAGAGAGGUCACUGGAAUUCCAAGUGUAGGAGUGAAAUCCGUAGAUAUUUGGAGGAACACCGAUGGCGUAGGCAGGUGACUGGCUCAUUCUUGACACUAAGGCACGAAAGCGUGGGGAGCAAACGGGAUUAGAUACCCCGGUAGUCCACGCCGUAAACGAUGGAUGCUA
rnacentral:rRNA from 1 species